GGUUGUUAAUGGGUGCGAGUCAUUGUGACACUUUAAAGGGGUUGGACAGAAUUAUGGGAACUGUGGAAUAAGAGGACUAGAAAUGAGAAUUUGAUGGAUGAAAGCUUGAGGCAGGGUGGUCUUAAUCGUGAGAAAAGUUUGAUAAAACAGGGAUAAUUCUUGUUGAUGAAAAAAUAAGAGUGCAGAGGAACAGAAUAUGGAGUGAAGUAGGAGUUUGGGGAGGGAACUGGGAAUCAAUUCCCUGUGUCCACCAAAUAACUGAAAGCCAUUAAAGAAAUAAAGGAGUGGGGUCUGACAUGUAUGUAAAAGGAUCAAUUAUGCAGGGGAUGCAGACCACAGAUUGGUCUAAUUUGACAACUGAUAAAUAAAAAUACGAUGGAUGCCGAAUGUGAUAGCGCUAUCUAAAUAAAAUAAAUGAAAACAAUAUAUAUUUUUUUUCAAUAAGUACAAUUUUUAUUAUGUAGACCUAAAGUAGAGAAAUGUAGCAUUGAAUGACUCCAAUAAUUGAGCACGCAUCCGGCAGAGCACAGCUUCCCAUGGUCGGACUGAAUGUCAGUUCAUAAACAUCUCAAUCAUUCAAUGUUGUUACCAACCAUAUACAGUAUUAGCGUUGGCAGUCCUUGAAAAGCGCCAUUGACUGCUUUCAAUCAAACAACAGAAGG
rnacentral:lncRNA from 1 species